CCUGGUGGCUCAGAUGGUAAAGCAUCUGCUUGCAAUGCAGGAGACCUGGGUUUGAUCCCUGGGUCAGGA
rnacentral:tRNA from 1 species